rnacentral:rRNA from 1 species
AUCGAACGCUGGCGGCAGGCCUAACACAUGCAAGUCGAACGAGUGGCGGACGGGUGAGUAACGUCUGGGAAACUGCCCGAUGGAGGGGGAUAACUACUGGAAACGGUAUCUAAUACCGCAUACCAUCGGAUGAGCCCAGAUGGGAUUAGCGAGUAGGCGGGGUAAUGGCUCACCAAGGCGACGAUCCCUCGCUGGUCUGAGAGGAUGACCAGCAACACUGGAACUGAGACACGGUCAAGACUCCUACGGGAGGAAGCAGUGGGGAAUAUUGCACAAUGGGCGCAAGCCUGAUGCAGCAAUGCCGCGUGUAUGAAGAAGGCCUUCGGGUGUUAAAGUACUUUCAGCGAGGAGGCGUUACUCGCAGAAGAAGCACCGGCUAACUCCGUGCCAGCAGCCGCGGUAAUUC